GACGAACGCUGGCGGCGUGCUUAACACAUGCAAGUCGAACGGGUCUGCCCUGUUUUUUGCGGGGUGGGUCAGUGGCGAACGGGUGAGUAACACGUGAGUAACCUGCCCCUCACUUCUGGAUAACCGCUUGAAAGGGUGGCUAAUACGGGGUGUUCUGGCUGUGCCGCAUGGUGUGGCUGGGAAAGAUUCACUUUUGUGGUGUUUUGGUGGGGGAUGGGCUCGCGGACUAUCAGCUUGUUGGUGGGGUGAUGGCCUGCCAAGGCUUUGACGGGUAGCCGGCCUGAGAGGGUGGGCGGUCACACUGGGGCUGAGAUACGGCCCAGACUCCUGCGGGAGGCAGCAGUGGGGGGUAUUGCACAAUGGGCGGAAGCCUGAUGCAGCGACGUCGCGUGAGGGAUGGAGGCCUUCGGGUUGUGAACUGCUUUCGCCGGUGAAGAAGGUCCUGCUCUUUGUGGUGGGGUUGACGGUAGCCGGGUUAUGAAGCGCCGGCUAACUACGUG
rnacentral:rRNA from 1 species